UGGAAUCCCCUGAGCUGUGGCUGAUGGAUGUGCCAAAGAUUGUGAGACACCUCUUUCAGUACUGUGAUGAGAAAAACACAACUGCUCACAGCUUUCACUCUCUGCUUGCCCUGAUGGUGAAUAAGUGGCCUGGGCAGGUCAUUGCGACGGCUCUGGAGGUUGCUCCAAUAUUCAGUGACAAAGUCUGUCUGUGGAAGGUGAUGUUCUCCGUGCGCCAGACUCUGGAGAAGGUUUUGAAGGAGCUGCAUAUCCAACUGCAGGACUGGCAUAAAAACAUCUUCACUUGACAGCAGAA